rnacentral:rRNA from 1 species
GUACCCUCGUGAGGGUGCCUGACGGUACUGUAGGAAUAAGCACCGGCUAACUCCGUGCCAGCAGCCGCGGUAAUACGGAGGGUGCGAGCGUUAUCCGGAUUUAUGGGUUUAAAGGUCCGUAGGCGGAUUAAUAAGUCAGUGGUGAAAUCCCAUCGCUUAACGAUGGAACUGCCAUUGAUACUGUUAGUCUUGAAUGAGGGUGCAGUGGUUGGAAUGUGUAGUGUAGCGGUGAAAUGCAUAGAUAUUACACAGAACACCGAUUGCGAAGGCAGAUCACUAACCCUAAAUUGACGCUGAGGGACGAAAGCGUGGGGAGCGAACAGGAUUAGAUACCCUGGUAG